rnacentral:rRNA from 1 species
AACCAAGAAAUUUAGUCAUUCUUUUUUGGUAAAAAGACAGUUAGGUAGUAUUAGUAGAAUUAUAGGACCUUUAGUGCAGGAGUAAAAUCUAAAUAUUAAAAGUUAUUUCAGGUAUAAUUUAUUUGAGUUGCUGAAUCUGUGAUAGCUUUAAGGGAAACUGGGAUUGGAUACCCCAUUAUUUUUAGUUGUAAAUAUAGUUUAAACUUACCAGAGUACUACGAAUAAAAAGUUUAAAACUCAAAGGGCUUGGCGGUGUUUUAGACCCUUCAGGGGAACCUGUCUCGUAAUCGACAAUCCACGUUAAACCUAAUCUCUUGUAGCAAUACAGCUUGUAUACCGUCGUCGUCAGGUAACUUCUUAAAAUAUAGUAGUUAGCUUGAUAAUCAGAUUAGUUAAAACGUCAGAUCAAGGUGCAGCUAAUAAAGAGGUGAGGAUGGGUUACAAUUAUAUAUUUGUAAAUACGGUAGAUACUUGAAAUAAGGUAUUUUAAAGGAGGACUUGAAAGUAAUUUUAGUUAUAUAAAUAAGAUGAAUAAGGCUCUGAAACGUGC